UGCCAGCAGCCGCGGUAAUACAGAGGUGGCAAGCGUUGUUCGGAUUUACUGGGUGUAAAGGGUGCGUAGGCGGCCCGAAAAGUCGAAUGUGAAAGCCCAUGGCUUAACCAUGGAAUUGCAUCCGAAACUUUUGGGCUAGAGUGUUGGAGAGGAAGACGGAAUUCCCGGUGUAAGGGUGAAAUCUGUAGAUAUCGGGAAGAACACCAGUGGCGAAGGCGGUCUUCUGGCCAAAUACUGACGCUAAGUGCACGACAGCUAGGGGAGCGAACGGGAUUAGAUA
rnacentral:rRNA from 1 species